GAUGAAGAACGUAGCGAAAUGCGAUAAGUAAUGUGAAUUGCAGAAUUCAGUGAAUCAUCGAAUCUUUGAACGCACAUUGCGCCCGGUAGUAUUCUGCCGGGCAUGUCUGUUCGAGCGUCAUUUCAACCAUCAAGCCCCAGCGCUUGUGUUGGGGGCCUGCGGCUGCCGCAGCCCCCUAAAAGCAGUGGCGGGCUCGCUAUCACACCGAGUGCAGUAGUUCAUCUUCUCUCCGGUCUUGUGAGGCGGGUUCCGGCCGUGAAACACCCCACUACAUUCAAGGUUGACCUCGGAUCAGGUAGGAAUACCCGCUGAACUUAAGCAUAUCAUAAGCGGAGGA
rnacentral:misc_RNA from 1 species